rnacentral:tRNA from 1 species
GGAGUUGUGGCUCAGUGUUAGAGUGCUUACCUCACAUGUAUGAGGCAUUAGGUUCAAUGCCCAGCGCCA